GGUAAGGAUAGCUCAGUUGGUAGAGCAUGAGACUCUUAAUCUCUAGGUUGUGGGUUCGAGUCCCAUGUUGGGUCA
rnacentral:tRNA from 1 species